rnacentral:pre_miRNA from 1 species
GGGAGCGCAGGAUCCUGGGCUGUGUCCCCCGCGCCCUGGGAUCCGGGGCCUGCGCUGCUGGAAUUGUGUUCCCGGGGCCGCGGCUCCC